rnacentral:lncRNA from 1 species
AAAUAUGCUAGCCUAAAUAUUUAUGUCAAUGUUACAACACUUCAUAUUUUGCAUCGCCACAAGGUAUUUCUAGCACUGUAGUUUGUACCCUCUUCAUGACAACUUCGGCCUCAGUUCUACAGAUACUAUCACUAUUCAUCAAGAAACUGAUAAUGACCGCCACAGAUCGAAAUAGUCAAGGCAUAACAUUUUACAUUUAUUUUUCAC